CGUGGGUAACCCACUCCGAAUUGGGGAUAACAUUGCGAAAGCGAUGCUAAUACCGAAUAAUAUCUUAUACACUUCGGUGCUUAAGAUCAAAGAUGGCCUCUCCUUGGAAGCUAUCGUUUGGGGACGGGCCCGCGUACCAUUAGCUUGUUGGUAGGGUAAUGGCCUACCAAGGCUACGAUGGUUAGCUGGUCUGAGAGGAUGAUCAGCCACACUGGAACUGACACACGGUCCAG
rnacentral:rRNA from 1 species